AAUCAACGCUGGCGGCGUGCCUCAGACAUGCAAGUCGAACGCGAAAGUUUCCUUCGGGAAGCGAGUAGAGUGGCGUCCGGGUGAGUAACACGUAGGUAAUCUACCUUUGGGUGGGGAAUAACAACCGGAAACGGUUGCUAAUACCGCAUAAUGCAGCGGCACCACAUGGUGACAGUUGUUAAAGCGGGGGAUCGCAAGACCUCGCGCCUAAAGAGGAGCCUGCGGCGGAUUAGCUAGNGGUAAGGUAACGGCUUACCAAGGCAACGAUCCGUAGCCGGCCUGAGAGGGCGGUCGGGCCACACUGACACUGAAAUACGGGUCAGGACUCCUACGGGAGGCGAGCAGUCGGGAAUUUUGGGCAAUGGGCGAAAGCCUGACCCAGCAACGCCGCGUGAAGGAU
rnacentral:rRNA from 1 species